rnacentral:rRNA from 1 species
AGUGAACGCUGGCGGUAGGCCUAACACAUGCAAGUCGAACGGCAGCACAGUAAGAGCUUGCUCUUACGGGUGGCGAGUGGCGGACGGGUGAGGAAUACAUCGGAAUCUACUUUUUCGUGGGGGAUAACGUAGGGAAACUUACGCUAAUACCGCAUACGACCUACGGGUGAAAGCAGGGGAUCUUCGGACCUUGCGCGAUUGAAUGAGCCGAUGUCGGAUUAGCUAGUUGGCGGGGUAAAGGCCCACCAAGGCGACGAUCCGUAGCUGGUCUGAGAGGAUGAUCAGCCACACUGGAACUGAGACACGGUCCAGACUCCUACGGGAGGCAGCAGUGGGGAAUAUUGGAAAAUGGGCGCAAGCCUGAUCCAGCCGUACCGCGUGGGUGAAGAAGGCCUUCGGGUUGUAAAGCCCUUUUGUUGGGAAAGAAAAGCAGCAGGUUAAUACCCCGCUGUUCUGACGGUACCCAAAGAAUAAGCACCGGCUAACUUCGUG